rnacentral:rRNA from 1 species
CUCACUGGUCGAGUGAUCCUGCGCGGAUAAUGUAACGGGGCUCAAGUACAGAGCCGAAGCUGUGAAUUCCUAUGUAUGUAGGAGUGGUAGCGGAGCGUCGAUCUUGCAGCGAAGCGGCGGUGGAAACCGUUGUGGAGCGAGGUCGAGUGCGAAUGCAGGCAUGAGUAGCGAAAGAGGGGUGAGAAACCCCUCCGCCGAAUAUCCAAGGGUUCCUGGGGAAGGCUAAUCCUCCCAGGGUGAGUCGGGAGCUAAGACGAGGCCGACAGGCGUAGUCGAUGCACAACUGGUUGAUAUUCCAGUACCACCACAUUAUGCGCCCACGCUAAAGCAACUUUGCUAAGGGGAUGCUGCUAGCCCGUAAAACGGCCGGCAGAGAAACCGACCCAGGUUGUGGCGGCGAGCAAUGCGGGGACGCAGGAAGGUAGAUGAUCCCAGGCGAUGGUUGUCCUGGGGUAAGCGAGUAGGGAGAGGCCCAGGUAAGUCCGGUCCUCACGAUCCUGAGACGCGACGCCGAGCCGAAUCAGGCGAAGUCAUUGAUCCUAUGCUGCCAAGAAAAGCCGCUAGUUAGCACGUGUGGUGCCCGUACCCCAAACCAACACAGGUGGAUAGGUAGAGAAUACCAAGGCGAUUGAGAUAACUCUGGUUAAGGAACUCGGCAAAAUACAUCCGUAACUUCGGGAGAAGGAUGACCCCAUUAGGGUGACGGGACUUGCUCCCUGAGCUCGAAGGGGUGGCACAAACCAGUGGGAAGCGACUGUUUACUAAAAACACAGCAGCGUGCGAAGCCGUAAGGCGCUGUAUACGCUGUGACUCCUGCCCGGUGCUGGAAGGUUACGGGGAAGGGUUAGCCCUUGAGGCGAAGCUCUGAACCUAAGCCCCAGUAAACGGCGGCCGUAACUAUAACGGUCCUAAGGUAGCGAAAUUCCUUGUCGGGUAAGUUCCGACCUGCACGAAUGGAGUAACGACUCCCCAACUGUCUCAACCAGAGACUCAGCGAAAUUGAAGUACGAGUAAAGAUGCUCGUUAGCUGCAGAAGGACGGAAAGACCCCGUGGACCUUUACUAUAGUUUGGUAUUGGUUCUUGGUCUGAGUUGUGUAGGAUAGGUGGGAGACUAGGAAGCAUUGGCGCCAGCUAGUGUGGAGUCGUCCUUGAAAUACCACCCUUCUCAUGCUGGGAAUCUAACUUCGGCCCGUUAUCCGGGUCAGGGACAGUGCCAGAUGGGUAGUUUGACUGGGGCGGUCGCCUCCUAAAUGGUAACGGAGGCGCUCAAAGGUUCCCUCAGACUGGUCGGCCAUCAGUCGUUGAGUGCAAUCGCACAAGGGAGCUUGACUGCGAGACCGACAAGUCGAGCAGGUACGAAAGUAGGAGAUAGUGAUCCGGCGGUAGCGUGUGGAAGCGCCGUCGCUCAACGGAUAAAAGGUACCCCGGGGAU